GCAGACGGGUGAGUAACGCGUGGGAAUCUACCCUUUUCUACGGAAUAACGCAGGGAAACUUGUGCUAAUACCGUAUGAGCCCUUCGGGGGAAAGAUUUAUCGGGAAAGGAUGAGCCCGCGUUGGAUUAGCUAGUUGGUGGGGUAAAGGCCUACCAAGGCGACGAUCCAUAGCUGGUCUGAGAGGAUGAUCAACCACAUUGGGACUGAGACACGGCCCAAACUCCUACGGGAGGCAGCAGUGGGGAAUAUUGGACAAUGGGCGCAAGCCUGAUCCAGCCAUGCCGCGUGAGUGAUGAAGGCCCUAGGGUUGUAAAGCUCUUUCACCGGUGAAGAUAAUGACGGUAACCGGAGAAGAAGCCCCGGCUAACUUCGUGCCAGCAGCCGCGGUAAUACGAAGGGGGCUAGCGUUGUUCGGAAUUACUGGGCGUAAAGCGCACGUAGGCGGACAUUUAAGUCAGGGGUGAAAUCCCGGGGCUCAACCCCGGAACUGCCUUUGAUACUGGGUGUCUAGAGUAUGGAAGAGGUGAGUGGAAUUCCGAGU
rnacentral:rRNA from 1 species